rnacentral:lncRNA from 1 species
GGGUGACUUGCUAAGGCCAGUCGGCACAGAGCAUUAUGGAUAGCCACUCCUUUUGAUAACCACUCCAGGCUUCUCUAACACUUUGGCUCGGUGGCUUUGGUUUUGGUUUUUAACUGUAUUCUGGUUUGAGAAGGCUCAAUGUAAAGACUGACGUUUUAACUAAAGCUAGAGGACACUGGCACCUAAGCCAGAAGAUAGUUAAUGAGUGUGAGCAGGCAGGAUACAGAGGGUCAGAGCGCCGUAAGAGCCAGUGACUGUCCCUUCUGCUACAGGACAGAGUGCGUGAGAUGCCAGAGUGGGUGAAGUAUGCCGGAUAUGAGGAUGUCAGGGAUACCUGAGCCAAGGCAGCUCUCGUACCAGUUAGAGCAGCUCCCUGCCAGCAUCAGCCACCCUUUCUCUGAGCGGAACAGGGCCUUCUUGACUCUUGAGAUGACAGACAUCAUUCCUGUGCAGCAAAUGCAUCCUUCACAAAGUGACUGCGUUGUAACUAGAGCCUAGAUGGACAUUACUAGAAAUACACCGGGUGGUCUCCAAGGACGGUUGCAAAUGCCCCUCCACUCCAUAGCACAAGUGGGUAACUUGUCCUGCAUCUUGGGCUGGAAUGUUUAUUCGUACUGUCCUACAAAGCAGUCUCCAGAGUCAGAGAAUGUCUCAUUAGCCGCCUCCGUGUGCCGAGUGCACGUAUCAGAGGCAGGGAAAUUUGCAGGGCGCUCUGCAACCUAAAUUAAACAGAAAAAUCACAUGUGCCACGGAAAUUCAGAUGAGCCAAAUAUGCUAUCUGGCAUGGGUUUUCAUUAAACCACUGAGCGCUCUUUUGAAUUGUACUGGAUUUUCUUAGAAUGAAGAACAUUUUAAUUUAAAAACGAAUGAGUGCACAGUUGCAAAGCUGCCGUGAUUGCUGCUCACCAUAUACACUUUUCUUCUCUUACGCUGUUCCACAAAGAUGCUCUGAUUCUGAAUAUAACUCCCUGGAAGUGUUCUAGGGAGUCCUGGCAAACAGCUAAUGAGCAGUAACCAGGGGAGUAUCCCAGACACGAAGCCCGGGGCCUUUAUGAUCUCACGUAGGACCAGUCUUCAGUCUUCUCAAGGAAAAUGACCAUGUGCUUCAGUGCUGUGUUUAUAACUUGAAUCUUUUAUAUAUUAUUUUGUUACUGGUGACCAUUUUGUUAGAACUGUGAGUUGGCCCUCAAUAGUAAUAACAGCCCAAAUUUAUUCAAGGCUUACAGAGACAAUAUUAAACAUUUUCCAGAGGCUGUCUCAUUUGCAUUUUUCAGAGCAGGCCAAUAAGAUUCAUGCUGUUAGUAACCACCUUUAUUUUCAACAACUAAUUGUUCUUAACCAAGGUCAAAGUUCCGAUAUCAGUACUUUUCCAAAGGUCAUACAAAACUAAUUGCAGCCCGGGCUUGACCCCAUCUCCCAGGAAUGCAUGCUUACAUAACACUACACCCACUAAAUUUCCAUGCCUUAUUGAAUGUGUACCGAGCUGUUUAAUAGUCUCCAGUGGGAAACAAAAAUAUCUGGGAAGGGAAUCACAGUUUCAUGCUGUGAAAUUACAGUCAGAUCUCCGCUGUAAUUCUACUGGCAUUACUGUUACUUAAACACUUUUACUGUUUUGUAAUUGAAAAACAUGAUCUGGUAUAUUGAAGACAUUUUUCUCCUUAAAAAAAUUAGUAUUUAUACUACACAGAGUGGAGAAUUUUCACCUACCCAGUGUAAAACCUCUGAAAACAGCUGUGGUGAUAGAUGGCGGAAAGAGCAAACUAGUUUCUGUCCUCUCCCCUUGAGUGCACGUGCGUGUGUUAUUCAGCUAUUAGGAAGUGUAUUCGGUUGGAAUGUGGGUAUUGUAGUAUGUGAAGGUACCAGCCAUAGGGUUAAUAGAAUUCAUUUGUGAAUAGUUUCAGUUUUGUAGGUUUUUUUAAUUUCAUUUUAUUUUUAACUUAUUUUUUACACUCCAUGCCCAUUUCCUGCCUUCCCACCCACCCUCCAACAUCUCACACUCCUCCCCACCCACCUGUCUUCAUGUGGAAGUCCCCAUCCCCCACCCCACCUGACCUCUAAACUCCCUGGGGCCUCCAGUCUCUUGAAGGUUAGGUGCAUCAUCUCUGAAUGAACACAGACCUGAAAGUCCUCUAACGUAUGUGUGUUGGGGGCCUCAUAUCAGCUGCUGUAUGCUAUUUGGUGGUCCAGUGUUUGAGAGAUCUCGAGGGUCCAGAUUAAUUGAGAAUGCUGGUCCUCCUACAGAAUCGCCCUUCUCCUCAGCUUCUUUCAGCUUUCUUGGUAUGCAGAGGGAAUCAUGAUUGUUUUAUAGGUAGAAAUAUAGAAAUGUGCUAAACAGUGAGUUCAAAAGACCUAGGCAGACACUUCCCAAGGAUAUGUCACAUAAAUAAGGUGUGGCCUCCCAUGGUGGUGUGAGGAGCAUGGGGCAAAGAAGCCCGUGGGGCUAUCAGGUGGUCCAUUUUCCCAUUUGGCUGUUAACUGAGCCACACAGAGGGGAAAUACAGGAAACUCUGGUGGGAGGCUGAGCCCUUGUUCCUAGGACAGUAAUUUGAAUAAGGAACUGGACGGGUUGAGAUGGGAAGCAGGGAGGGCCCAGAAGACGUUGUCAGAGCCUGUCAGCCUUGGUCAUUCCAGUAGAACACCAGC